rnacentral:lncRNA from 1 species
GUUCUGUAUCCCAGGUUUGCUAACCACUGAUCUGCUGGUGCCAAGCCUCCUCGGCUUAUGUCCACCUGCACUGUGUCACCUGAAGCUCAUGCCCACCCCCAACCCCGUGGAGGACUCAGCUGGGCUUUACCCACAGCUCAGGCACUGACUUUCUCCAGCUUCCACUACCCCUGUGUACUCCCCAUCACAACAUUGCAGACUUUUCUAUUAUUCACUGCAUUGACACUCCUUAGGAUAGAACCAAAACUUUGUAUCCCUAGUGGCAGAAUUUGUUCAUGUGUUUGGAAGGAGGUAA